rnacentral:rRNA from 1 species
GACGAACGCUGGCGGCGUGCUUAACACAUGCAAGUCGAACGGAAAGGCCCUGCUUUUGUGGGGUGCUCGAGUGGCGAACGGGUGAGUAACACGUGAGUAACCUGCCCUUGACUUUGGGAUAACUUCAGGAAACUGGGGCUAAUACCGGAUAGGAGCUCCUGCUGCACGGUGGGGGUUGGAAAGUUUCGGCGGUUGGGGAUGGACUCGCGGCUUAUCAGCUUGUUGGUGGGGUAGUGGCUUACCAAGGCUUUGACGGGUAGCCGGCCUGAGAGGGUGACCGGCCACAUUGGGACUGAGAUACGGCCCAGACUCCUACGGGAGGCAGCAGUGGGGAAUAUUGCACAAUGGGCGGAAGCCUGAUGCAGCAACGCCGCGUGCGGGAUGACGGCCUUCGGGUUGUAAACCGCUUUCGCCUGUGACGAAGCGUGAGUGACGGUAAUGGGUAAAGAAGCACCGGCUAACUACGU